UACGCAGGGGGCUAGCGUUGCUCGGAAUCACUGGGCGUAAAGGGUGCGUAGGCGGGUCUUUAAGUCAGGGGGGAAAUCCUGGAGCUCAACUCCAGAACUGCCUUUGAUACUGAGGAUCUUGAGUACGGGAGAGGUGAGUGGAACUGCGAGUGUAGAGGUGAAAUUCGUAGAUAUUCGCAAGAACACCAGUGGCGAAGGCGGCUCACUGGCCCGUUACUGACGCUGAGGCACGAAAGCGUGGGGAGCAAACAGG
rnacentral:rRNA from 1 species